AUUGAACGCUGGCGGCAUGCCUUACACAUGCAAGUCGAACGGUAACGCGGGACAACCUGGCGACGAGUGGCGAACGGGUGAGUAAUGUAUCGGAACGUGCCCAGUUGUGGGGGAUAACUGCUCGAAAGAGCAGCUAAUACCGCAUACGACCUGAGGGUGAAAGCGGGGGAUCGCAAGACCUCGCGCGAUUGGAGCGGCCGAUAUCAGAUUAGGUAGUUGGUGGGGUAAAGGCCCACCAAGCCAACGAUCUGUAGCUGGUCUGAGAGGACGACCAGCCAAACUGGGACUGAGACACGGCCCAGACUCCUACGGGAGGCAGCAGUGGGGAAUUUUGGACAAUGGGCGCAAGCCUGAUCCAGCCAUGCCGCGUGCGGGAAGAAGGCCUUCGGGUUGUAAACCGCUUUUGUCAGGGAAGAAACGCUCUGGGUUAAUACCUCGGGGUAAUGACGGUACCUGAAGAAUAAGCACCGGCUAACUACGUGCCAGCCGCCGCCGUAACAC
rnacentral:rRNA from 1 species